rnacentral:rRNA from 1 species
AUGGCGAUUGCGGCGACCCGGUCCAAACGUAUCUGUAGUACAAUGCUCGAUUCCUCCGCAUCAAGUGCAAGCGAACGGCACGCGAGGGCGCCGGUCGGACGCUCCCUUUGGUCCGACCUCGACAACGAGCUCCUCGCGUCCAUCGCCGUGCGCAUGUCUCUAAGGGACUACGCCCUCGCUCCGCCGACGUACCCUCGCCUUCUCUCCCUCUCCCCCGCGGACGACCACGGCCGGCGCACCGCCUCCCUUGUUUGCCUCCGGAUGCGACGCCGGUUCCACCUCCACACGGUCUACAACACGCUCGACGACGGCGACGACAACCGCGAUGGGCCCGUAAUCAACCGCAGCGUACGCGUCGUCGGCUCAGGCAACGGCCGCUUUGCCCUCGCCGUCGACUAG